CCCUAGCCCUGAUGGGAGCGGCAUCCUUUUAUGGUGGGGUUCACCAUAAAAGAUACAGUGGACAGCAGGAAUCAGC
rnacentral:sRNA from 2 species